GAGUUCUUCGUUCGAUGGAUUCAUACGCUGUCCGACUAUACUACCCAUUCAAGCUCAAGAAUUGCAGUUCUUUUUGGAAUAAAACUCCUCAACUUCAUUUUCUCUCUUCAUCUUUUCCUUCAAAGAAUUCUCGCACGCUCUUCCAGCUGGAAAACAGCAGAGGCAGUUCAGCCCACAAGAACACUGCUUUCGACGACGCUGCUUUUGAGGCCGAAAGGCUCCGCCUUGACGCCGAGGCUCGGGAAACCAUGGCAGAGACUUCCAGGAGAGAGAUGGACCGCCAUAAUGAAGACGACCCGAAAGCUUGGAAAUGGGUAAUCCGAAAGAGAAUUUGGGAUACAAUGGAGGCCCAGAACUUCGCCCAAAACCCGCGACCUGUUCACCAUCGGAUUCCCAAUUUCGUGGGUGCUUCAGUUGCUGCUUACAAGAUGAGGGAGCUCGAUGUGUUUCGUGAUGCACAAUGUGUGAAGGUUAACCCAGAUUCUCCUCAAAAGCAAGUCAGAUUUCUUACUCUCUCAGAUGGGAAGAAAUUGUUAACUCCUCAGCCACGGCUGAGGACUGGAUUUUUCUCUGUUCUUGAAUCUAAUAUGUUGACCCCGGCUGCCAUCAAAGAAGCCUGUACCUCUGUUGGGGUUGCCAAGCACGGGAAGCCAAUUGGAUUAGAUGAAAAGUUAAAGGUAGAUCUUAUUGUCAUUGGAUCAGUCGCUGUUGACCCAAAAACCGGGGCUCGAUUGGGAAAGGGAGAGGGGUUUGCAGAACUUGAGUAUGGGAUGCUGCGUUAUAUGGGAGCUAUUGAUGAUUCAACACCCGUUGUGACUUCUGUGCAUGAUUGCCAAUUGGUGGAUGAUAUUCCGGUUGAAAAGCUGUUAAUCCAUGAUGUACCUGUGGAUAUCAUAUGCACUCCAACACAGGUUAUUUUCACCAACACAUCAAUUCCGAAACCUCAAGGGAUUUAUUGGGACAAAUUAUCUCCUGAAAAGCUUGGACAAAUUCGAAUACUUAGAGAGCUCAAGAGGAGGAUCGAGCGACAGACUAAUCAGAAACUUCCUACUGGUCCCUCAGAGAAGUUGCCUCCCACGGCUCAACGAAGGCGGUAACACUGCAUAUUCACCAUGGAAAUAAAGAAGAGGUCAAAAUAGACAAGAUUUGGUUGCGCAUGGCUCUGUGAUUGACGUGCAUCCUCUAUGAUGAUGGUAAUAAAGAAUCUCAAAGAGUGUGCUAUUAGGUCGAUUUGGUUGGUCCAUUGAUGGGGAAUCUGUUUCUCUCCUUAACAAGGUAAGAGAUACCUUUCUAUGUAUGUAAUAUUCGUAUAUUGAUCUAGGAAUACAAGUAUUUUGGAGAAUUUUGAUGUACUUGUAAUUUAACAUAUUUGAAAUCAAUACGUUGAAUGCCUAGUUAUACUUUAUAUUAUCUUA